rnacentral:tRNA from 1 species
CUGACUGUAGCUUAGUCUAGUAAAGCGCUGGUUUUGGGAAUCAGAGAUCGGUGGAGCGAAGCCACCCAGUCAGACCA